rnacentral:rRNA from 2 species
GGGCGUAAAGCGCGCGCAGGCGGUUUCUUAAGUCUGAUGUGAAAGCCCACGGCUCAACCGGGGAGGGGCAUUGGAAACUGGGGAACUUGAGUGCAGAAGAGAAAAGCGGAAUUCCACGUGUAGCGGUGAAAUGCGUAGAGAUGUGGAGGAACACCAGUGGCGAAGGCGGCUUUUUGGUCUGUAACUGACGCUGAGGCGCGAAAGCGUGGGGAGCAAACAGGAUUAGAUACCCUGGUAGUCCACGCCGUAAACGAUGACUGCUAAGUGUUAGAGGCUUUCCGACCUUUAUGGCUGCACUUAACCCUUUAAUCGAUCGGCCGGGGAAGUCCGGCCGCAAGACUGAACCUCAAUGGAUUUGACGGGGGCCCGCACAACCGGGGAACCUGGGGGUUUAUUUCAAACCACCCCAAAAAACCUUACCAGGCCUGGACUGCCUAUGACUUCUCUAAA